rnacentral:rRNA from 1 species
AACGAACGCUGGCGGCAGGCUUAACACAUGCAAGUCGAGCGAAGACUUCGGUCUUAGCGGCGGACGGGUGAGUAAUGCCUAGGAAUCUGCCUGGUAGUGGGGGAUAACGUUCGGAAACGGACGCUAAUACCGCAUACGUCCUACGGGAGAAAGCAGGGGACCUUCGGGCCUUGCGCUAUCAGAUGAGCCUAGGUCGGAUUAGCUAGUUGGUGGGGUAAUGGCUCACCAAGGCGACGAUCCGUAACUGGUCUGAGAGGAUGAUCAGUCACACUGGAACUGAGACACGGUCCAGACUCCUACGGGAGGCAGCAGUGGGGAAUAUUGGACAAUGGGCGAAAGCCUGAUCCAGCCAUGCCGCGUGUGUGAAGAAGGUCUUCGGAUUGUAAAGCACUUUAAGUUGGGAGGAAGGGCAGUAAAUUAAUACUUUGCUGUUUUGACGUUACCGACAGAAUAAGCACCGGCUAACUCUGUGCCAGCCGCCGCCGUAACAC